rnacentral:rRNA from 1 species
GAUGAACGCUAGCGGCAGGCUUAAUACAUGCAAGUCGAGGGGCAGCAUGAUUGUAGCAAUACAAUUGAUGGCGACCGGCAAACGGGUGCGGAACACGUACACAACCUUCCAAUAAGUGGGGGAUAGCCCAGAGAAAUUUGGAUUAAUACCCCGUAACAUAACGAUGUGGCAUCACAUUGUUAUUAUAGAUUUUUCGCUUAUUGAUGGGUGUGCGGCUGAUUAGAUAGUUGGCGGGGUAACGGCCCACCAAGUCUACGAUCAGUAGCUGAUGUGAGAGCAUGAUCAGCCACACGGGCACUGGGACACGGGCCCGACUCCUACGGGAGGCAGCAGUAAGGAAUAUUGGACAAUGGACGCAAGUCUGAUCCAGCCAUGCCGCGUGAAGGAUUAAGGUCCUCUGGAUUGUAAACUUCUUUUAUAAGGGACGAAAAAAGGCUUUUCUAAGUCGUCUGACGGUACCUUAUGAAUAAGCACCGGCUAACUCCGUGCCAGCAGCCGCCGUAAUAC